UUGUGACAGUGUGUUUACUAUGCCUACGACGGCCGUCAUUCGUGGCCAACGAGAAAACAUCUUCCAUUCGGCCUGACCAGUGAUGAAGUGGACUUUUUUUUUCGGCGGAAUCCAUCGUCAACAUCGUCCGGAAUCCAUCGUCAACAUCGUCCAUCCACUACGUAAACGAAAUGGCGUGCCCAGAGUACACAUCGUGACAGCGCUCCGCCUUCAAACCGAGGGCCUUUUGCAAGGCGGAUGGACGGCUCAUAUAAAAGUUAGUCAGUAUGAAGCAAUUGCAUGGGAACCGGCUGAUUGUCUUGGGCCUACACAUUGCUCAAAAGACAGGGAAGGUGUCUGAGCCGACAGGUAGAAAACAAGCAGAUGGCUACAGCGAUCAAUGAAGAAAUGGCUUCAUCUAUGAUGGCUCUCCUUAGGACAUUGGAAUGGAGCUACACAAAGGAAUC
rnacentral:lncRNA from 1 species